UACGUAGGGACCGAGCGUUGUCCGGAAUCAUUGGGCGUAAAGAGCGUGUAGGCGGCCUUUUAAGUCCUGCGUGAAAUCCUGCGGCUCAACCGCAGACGGUCGUGGGAAACUGGAAGGCUAGAGUGCGGGAGAGGAGAGUGGAAUUCCCGGUGUAGCGGUGAAAUGCGUAGAUAUCAAGAGGAACACCUGCGGCGAAGGCGGGUUGCUGGGCCGACACUGACGCUGAGGCGCGAAAGCUAGGGGAGCGAACGGG
rnacentral:rRNA from 1 species